CUGCUAUAUUUAUACAAUCCAAUCAAGGCAAGAUGAGGUAAUUAGUCCGGCAAGGCAGGAGCAAUAAUUCCAGAUGUGAAAGUAUGGCAGUAAUUCAACUCAGUUGGGAGGAUGCUAGGAACACAGAUAACCAAACUCAACACAAGAUAAACUCACGUUUGUUCCAAGCAACCGCAGCUCUCAGCUGCCUCUUCUUUAAACUCUCUUCCCAGGUGUGCCUAAUGAAGGGAAUCAGGGCCCUUUCCUCCCCCGUAAGCCACGCAACCCACGUUCCUCCCUUCUCCGUUCUUCCCUGUGUGCCCCAAGAUGAAGAGGGGGU